UUUUUCAUUGGAGAGUUUGAUCCUGGCUCAGGACGAACGCUGGCGGCGUGCUUAACACAUGCAAGUCGAACGGAAAGGCCCCUUUGGGGGUACUCGAGUGGCGAACGGGUGAGUAACACGUGAGUAACCUGCCCUUGACUUCGGGAUAACUUCAGGAAACUGGGGCUAAUACCGGAUAGGAAUCCUUGCUGCAUGGUGGGGGUUGGAAAGCUUCGGCGGUUUUGGAUGGACUCGCGGCUUAUCAGCUUGUUGGUGGGGUAGUGGCUUACCAAGGC
rnacentral:rRNA from 1 species